GGUCCUUGGAAGACUUCCAACCUCAUCACUGAUGGUGAAUUUUACUGCUCACAAAUGCAUGUAACCACAGCAGAUCUCCAGACAUUCCGAAAAUAAGAAGCAGUCAUAAAGGGUAACAUAACAUCUACGAGUUGGAGCCACAGUCUAGAUGAAGGCAUCCGAAACUCCAUUUCAACGUGU